rnacentral:rRNA from 1 species
GAUGAACGCUGGCGGCGUGCCUAAUACAUGCAAGUCGAGCGAACAGACGAGGAGCUUGCUCCUCUGACGUUAGCGGCGGACGGGUGAGUAACACGUGGAUAACCUACCUAUAAGACUGGGAUAACUUCGGGAAACCGGAGCUAAUACCGGAUAAUAUAUUGAACCGCAUGGUUCAAUAGUGAAAGACGGUUUUGCUGUCACUUAUAGAUGGAUCCGCGCCGCAUUAGCUAGUUGGUAAGGUAACGGCUUACCAAGGCAACGAUGCGUAGCCGACCUGAGAGGGUGAUCGGCCACACGGGAACUGAGACACGGUCCAGACUCCAACGGGAGGCAGCAGUAGGGAAUCUUCCGCAAUGGGCGAAAGCCUGACGGAGCAACGCCGCGUGAGUGAUGAAGGUCUUCGGAUCGUAAAACUCUGUUAUUAGGGAAGAACAAAUGUGUAAGUAACUAUGCACGUCUUGACGGUACCUAAUCAGAAAGCCAAGGCUAACUACGUG